ensembl:lncRNA
CUUUUAUUUCUGAGUGUCAUUUGAGCCAAAAUUAAGUGGAUCUGCACACACUAUUUUCAGUUGUCAGAUACACUAAUUCAUUUAUUUGGCAAGUGAUCUCAUUCCUGGUUAAAAAUGUUGUGCCUAUGACAGCGUUAAAGGAGUGUAAUGUAGUACAUCAGGCAGCAAGAAGCACAGAAGAGACAGAGGAGGAAAGCAAUUUUUAAGCUGGUUUUAUUUCUGGUCUGCUCAGCUUCUACAAACAGGCAUAACUCAACAGGGAUGCAUAUAUAGGAAGAAAUCUCCAGUAUUAGCUGAGUUGACAGUUCACUUUUGAGGUUGACCUAAAAAUAAAAAAACAACAGCAGAAAAAGCUAUUAGUAAUUUGCAGUCAUUGAAAAUUACUGAUUAUAAUUCUGUAGUAUUAUCUGUCUACAGUCUACCAAAUCAGUCUUACAUUAAAAAUCCCCAGGAUCAGGUGACCAUAUCUCAAGGCUGAUACUGCUAUUUCUAUCUAUGACCUAGUGUCAAACCCAGAUCACUGGAAAAUGUAAGCUUUCCUAUCUAAGCAGAUCCCUUAUCUCUUUUCUUAACGCUUGGGAACAAGGUACUACCAGCUGCUAUUAAGUGUGAAUGAAGCUCAGAUCCUUUCUCUUACCCUCCAAGGAAUGUGCUCCAGCCCUGCUCAGGGCACGGUAACUCAAUUCCUUAGGGAAAAUAGAAAAGCCAUUUUUGAGCUGCUGAGAAACAGUGUUUGAACACUGAAGUUACCAGGGGAACCAAUGUACUGAAAGCCUUUAGUUGACAGUACAUUUAGUUGUCUAACUAUUUCUAGAACAAUAAUAAAAAUAAUAGCACACUCUCCAGGUCACCUGGAAAGUAACCCUUCACAUUUCUGCUCUGACUCUUGCUGUUGUAAGAUCAGCACUAUCUUGGCCCCUUCACCCAUGAUAUUUUUGCAACUUCAGCAAGGUAUACAAUUCCAAUUAUUCACACGCAAAAAAGAAAUGUAGAUUCAAACAGAUACAGAGAUAUCCCGGGACUGUUAUUUCUUUUUCUCCUCAUAAUCUGCUUUCACAGGAACAUCAAACAGAGAUUUUUUCCUCUUAUCUCUGGAUGGACCAUUCAGCAGAUGGAGCCCCUGAUUUCAAUCCCAAAGGCAAUUUAUCAACUAAAUUUUAUCCACAAAGUUAAAGUAAGCUGCUGGCUUUUGUGUCCAUCUCUGCUGAUGCUGAAUUUUGCCCCAAAAGGCGAGAAUAACUGCCUAAGAGACUCAAGUAUUUAA